rnacentral:rRNA from 1 species
AUUGAACGCUGGCGGCAGGCCUAACACCUGCAAGUCGAACGAGUGGCGGACGGGUGAGUAAUGUCUGGGAAACUGCCUGAUGGAGGGGGAUAACUACUGGAAACGGUAGCUAAUACCGCAUACCAUCAGAUGUGCCCAUAUGGGAUUAGCUAGUUGGUGGGGUAAGCGCUCCCCAAGGAGACGAUCCCUAUCUGGUCUGAGAGGAUGACCAGCAACAGUGGAACUGAGACAGGGUCCAGACUCCUACGGGAGGCAGCAGUGGGGAAGAUUGCACAAUGGGCGCAAGCCUGAGGCAGCCAUGCCGCGUGUAUGAAGAAGGCCUUCGGGUUGUAAAGUACUUUCAGCGGGGAGGCGUUACCCGCAGAAGAAGCACCGGCUAACUCCGUGCCAGCAGCCGCGGUAAUAC